GACGUAGGGCGCGAGCGUUGUCCGGAUUUAUUGGGCGUAAAGAGCUCGUAGGCGGUCUUGUCGCGUCGUCCGUGAAAACCUCGGGGCUCAACUCCGAGGCUUGCGGUCGAUACGGGCAGGCUCGAAGUUCGGUAGGGGAGACUGGGAAUUCCUGGUGUAGCGGUGAAAUGACGCAGAUAUCAGGAGGAACGACCGGCUGGCGAAGGCGGGAUCGUCAUCGGGCCGGCAUACUGACGCUGAGGAGCGAAAAGCGUGGGGAGCGAACAGG
rnacentral:rRNA from 1 species